GAAAACCCAUUGUUGGUGCUCUUCUCGAUGGCCUAGUCCUCUUUUUACCCCCACUUUUUACCGGUAUCUGGUUUGAGAUAUGGUUCCACCACCUUGAUGUGGAGCCGCCAUGUCGUCUAAAUACGGGAAGGGCGUUGGGUUCGAUCUAGGGUUCAUGGUCCUGGACCACAGUGCUUCAAAAUUCAGAACUGGGUUCGAAGGUGCUUGGGUUCUCUUGGCUAGGCCUGGAGAAGGAUUCGAAAUAAGAGAGAGAAACUUGGUGAGAGAGGGAAGGGGUGUUCGUCUGCGCUGGAGGAGGGCGCCCAUGGCCAGUGCUGGCCGACCCGCGAACAAAAGAAGGUGUGAAACUAUCGUUUUUUGAAGGUUUAUGCAGGCUCUGGCCAUAGGGAGAGAGGGGGUGUACAGACACAGAGGAAAAAGGGAAGGGAGGAUUGAAAAGAAAGGCGACUUGGAAUCGGGAUUCCACUUCCUUGAAAGAUUUGGGGAAAACUGCAGCGCCAGGUCGGGUCCGGUUCUAGAGAGAGGCGUCCGAAAUCUCCUGUGUGAUACGGUAUUUCAAACACCAAACAAACUUUUAAAAUUAAUCAUCUUUUUGUCUGGUAUUUGAAUUGUUACACAUAAGAGCUCGAAUUUCAUGCAAAUAACCGUCCAUUUGGUAAUUGACCGCUCUUAAAAGUGUCUGUAUAUAAUUUGCUCUUAAAAUAUUAGAUGCCCUCACUCACAUAUGUGUUUUAGAAUACGGUUAACACAAUACAACAAAAGUAAAUUGUUGUUUAGUGCCAUCAAGAAUAAAC
rnacentral:lncRNA from 1 species